GCCAAUGCAUGCUUUUACAGUAUGGAAAUUGGUGAUUUAUAAUAACUUGGCAAAUCGCAAAGUGAAAACAGGCGAUAAAUCAUUCAAGUUUCUGACCUAUCAGCUUUCGACGGUAUGGUAUUGGCUUACCGUGGCAGUGACGGUUAACGGGGGAUUAGGGUUCGAUUCCGGAGAGGGAGCCUGAGAAACGGCUACCACAUCUAAGGAAGGCAGCAGGCGCGCAAAUUACCCAAUUCUAACAGUUUGAGAGAGGUAGUAACAAGAAAUAACAAUACAAGGCAAUUAAAAUGUUUUGUAAUUGGAAUGAUAGAAAUUUAAACCCUUUUUAAAGUAUCAAUUGGAGGGCAAGUCUGGUGCCAGCAGCCGCGGUAAUUCCAGCUCCAAUAGCGUAUAUUAAAAUUGUUGCAGUUAAAAAGCUCGUAGUUGAAGUUCUGCUAAAAGUAACCGGUCUGCUUUUAAUAAAAGUGGUAUCUUGGUGUGUAUUUAGCAAUGAUGUCCUUUGAAGUGUUUUUUACUUUAUUGUAAUAAAGCAUAUUCAGGACUUUUACUUUGAGAAAAUUAGAGUGUUUCUAGCAGGCCGACGCUUUGAAUACUGCA
rnacentral:rRNA from 1 species